UUCCUUGAACCGCAUGGUUCAAGGAUGAAAGACGGUUUCGGCUUCCACUUACAGAUGGACCCGCGGCGCAUUAGCUAGUUGGUGGGGUAAUGGCUCACCAAGGCGACGAUGGGUAGCCGACCUGAGAGGGUGAUCGGCCACACUGGGACUGAGACACGGCCCAGACUCCUACGGGAGGCAGCAGUAGGGAAUCUUCCGCAAUGGACGAAAGUCUGACGGAGCAACGCCGCGUGAGUGAUGAAGGUUUUCGGAUCGUAAAGCUCUGUUGUUAGGGAAGAACAAGUGCGAGAGUAACUGCUCGCACCUUGACGGUACCUAACCAGAAAGCCACGGCUAACUACGUGCCAGCAGCCGCGGUAAUACGUAGGUGGCAAGCGUUGUCCGGAAUUAUUGGGCGUAAAGGGCUCGCAGGCGGUUUCUUAAGUCUGAUGUGAAAGCCCCCGGCUCAACCGGGGAGGGUCAUUGGAAACUGGGAAACUUGAGUGCAGAAGAGGAGAGUGGAAUUCCACGUGUAGCGGUGAAAUGCGUAGAGAUGUGGAGGAACACCAGUGGCGAAGGCGACUCUCUGGUCUGUAACUGACGCUGAGGAGCGAAAGCGUGGGGAGCGAACAGGAUUAGAUACCCUGGUAGUCCACGCCGUAAACGAUGAGUGCUAAGUGUUAGGGGGUUUCCGCCCCUUAGUGCUGCAGCUAACGCAUUAAGCACUCCGCCUGGGGAGUACGGUCGCAAGACUGAAACUCAAAGGAAUUGACGGGGGCCCGCACAAGCGGUGGAGCAUGUGGUUUAAUUCGAAGCAACGCGAAGAACCUUACCAGGUCUUGACAUCCUCUGACAACCCUAGAGAUAGGGCUUUCCCUUCGGGGACAGAGUGACAGGUGGUGCAUGGUUGUCGUCAGCUCGUGUCGUGAGAUGUUGGGUUAAGUCCCGCAACGAGCGCAACCCUUGAUCUUAGUUGCCAGCAUUCAGUUGGGCACUCUAAGGUGACUGCCGGUGACAAACCGGAGGAAGGUGGGGAUGACGUCAAAUCAUCAUGCCCCUUAUGACCUGGGCUACACACGUGCUACAAUGGACAGAACAAAGGGCUGCAAGACCGCAAGGUUUAGCCAAUCCCAUAAAUCUGUUCUCAGUUCGGAUCGCAGUCUGCAACUCGACUGCGUGAAGCUGGAAUCGCUAGUAAUCGCGGAUCA
rnacentral:rRNA from 1 species